rnacentral:rRNA from 1 species
AUUGAACGCUGGCGGCGUGCUUAACACAUGCAAGUCGAUCGGUAACAGGUGUAGCAAUACAUGCUGACGAGAGGCGGACGGGUGAGUAAUGCUUGGGAAUCUGCCUAUUAGUGGGGGACAACCCGGGGAAACUCGGGCUAAUACCGCAUACGCUCUACGGAGGAAAGCCGGGGACCGCAAGGCCUGGCGCUAAUAGAUGAGCCCAAGUCGGAUUAGCUAGUUGGUAGGGUAACGGCCUACCAAGGCGACAAUCCGUAGCUGGUCUGAGAGGACGACCAGCCACACCGGAACUGAGACACGGUCCGGACUCCUACGGGAGGCAGCAGUGGGGAAUAUUGGACAAUGGGGGCAACCCUGAUCCAGCGACGCCGCGUGGGUGAAGAAGGCCUGCGGGUUGUAAAGCCCUUUCGGUGGGGAAGAAAGUCUCGACCUAAUACGUCGGGACCUUGACGUAACCCACUAAAGAAGCACCGGCUAACUCUGUGCCAGCCGCCGCCGUAAG